rnacentral:rRNA from 1 species
CUACGGGGUGCACCAGUGAGGAAUUUUGCGCAAUGGGCGAAAGCCUGACGCAGCGACGCCGCGUGAAUGAUGAAGUCCUUCGGGAUGUAAAGUUCUGUCAGUAGGAAAAAUAAUGAUGGUACCUACAGAGGAAGCACCGGCUAACUAUGUGCCAGCAGCCGCGGUAAUACAUAGGGUGCAAGCGUUGUCCGGAUUUAUUGGGCGUAAAGAGUUCGUAGGUGGUUUUUUAAGUCAAAUUUUAAAGUUCGGGGCUCAACUCCGAAUUGGAUUUGAAACUGGAUUACUUGAGGUCGGGAGAGGAAGGCGGAACUCACAGUGUAGCGGUGAAAUGCGUAGAUAUUGUGAGGAACACCAGUGGCGAAGGCGGCCUUCUGGACCGAACCUGACACUAAGGAACGAAAGCGUGGGUAGCAAACAGGAUUAGAUACCCCAGUAGUC